rnacentral:rRNA from 1 species
GACGAACGCUGGCGGCGUGCUUAACACAUGCAAGUCGAACGGAAAGGCCCUGCUUUUGUGGGGUGCUCGAGUGGCGAACGGGUGAGUAACACGUGAGUAACCUGCCCUUGACUUUGGGAUAACUUCAGGAAACUUGGGCUAAUACCGGAUAGGAGCUCCUGCUGCAUGGUGGGGGUUGGAAAGUUUCGGCGGUUGGGGAUGGACUCGCGGCUUAUCAGCUUGUUGGUGGGGUAGUGGCUUACCAAGGCUUUGACGGGUAGCCGGCCUGAGAGGGUGACCGGCCAGAUUGGGACUGAGAUACGGCCCAGACUCCUACGGGAGGCAGCAGUGGGGAAUAAUGCACAAUGGGCGGAAGCCUGAUGCAGCAACGCCGCGUGCGGGAUGACGGCCUUCGGGUUGUAAACCGCUUUCGCCUGUGACGAAGCGUGAGUGACGGUAAUGGGUAAAGAAGCACCGGCUAACUACGUG